rnacentral:rRNA from 1 species
GACGAACGCUGGCGGCGUGCUUAACACAUGCAAGUCGAGCGGUAAGGCCCUUUCGGGGGUACACGAGCGGCGAACGGGUGAGUAACACGUGGGUGACCUGCCCUCAGCUCUGGGAUAAGCCCGGGAAACUGGGUCUAAUACCGGAUAUGACUUCAUGACGCAUGUUGUGGAGUGGAAAGCCUUGUGCGGCUGAGGAUGGGCCCGCGGCCUAUCAGCUUGUUGGUGGGGU